GUCUUCUGACGCGCUAUGUGAAAAAUUGACUAUUAAGUUUGAUCGAUAUAUAUAUACACUCAAACAGUAUAGGCCUAUAGGGUAUCACCAGAACAAUAAUUAUGAAGGUCAAGUUCUGUUUGAUUGCUUCGCUUUUGAUUCUCUCUUUGGCGAUUUCGUCAUACGUCGUUUUAGUUCAAUCAUACGAAUCCGAAGAAGAAACAAUAGCAGAAACGAUCCACAUUCGAAAGAUAAUGAAGAUCGGAGCUCCUCGUAGUAAAUCACCACCCGAUCGCCAGUGGGGUGGGAGUGACUCGCCACUACCCGGAUAGGUCCAAGUUCACACUAAGGCGAUGGCUAUACGAGUUGUGGUUACAUCGUAUAAUCUCAAAUAUAUAUAUAUGCUCCUGAUUUGUGAACCUUAUUUAGUUUAUGCAAACUACAAGAUACUUAAAAAGAAAACCAAUGGCCAGUUCCAAUGUGUUUUUGAUUAUUUUUCCGAAUCCCUAAAUGUUUGUUUGUUUGUGUUUCUUGGGGAGUUCUCCAUACAAAAUUUUGUCAACGAACCAAGCUGUCACCUAAUU